GCAACAUGGGCUAUAACGGACCCACCCCUCGCGCACAUCAGAGGCCUCAUAAGAUUCCUUGUGUGGAGCCGACUAGUAGUUAGAGAGAGCAGCUGAAAGAAAUACAUUCAUCAAGACUCUUAUACGAAUGUUCAGAAUGUGAUUAUUCCACUUGUACAUUCUGUCUGGAGAUACAAUUGAACAUUCAGUAGCAUGCAAGCCGAUUCACAACAUUCAGGACAGCUGCAAAAUUUGCAUGGAAAAGAAACCACACCUGGAAAUGGGACGAGCCAGAACUUUUACCAGAUAUGUUUACCACCUCACACUGCAAGUCCUUCAUAUUCUGGACAAACUGCCACUGGAAAUUACUUCACCUGCACAAUUCAACCGGCAACCAGUGACCAGAUUUUGGCUAGUGGCAUUCAAGCUACCAAAGGCACAAAGCUUGCACAAGAAAAUCAGCUCGAUUCAAACCAUACAUUGCCGACAGGAAAACAGGAUUCCCAAAUGAUUCUGUGGAACAUGCCCUCUAAUUACCAGAUAUUCCUACCGGUUAACAACAUGAAUCUACAAGGUGCUCCCAACAAUAAUGGGCCAAACAUGUCACAUUGUGCCUUUAACUCAACUAACAGUUUAUACAUGCAACAGCAAACUACCUCCUCAGCAGUUGGCCCAAAUAAUUUGCAGCCGUUUAAAACAAUAGACACUCAAAGUCAUAAUGAAGCUAGAAUAAAUGUGAGCACAAGCAACUUGGAUAGCAGGCAGCACUAUGCAAAUGCUCCUACUAAUUUGCCAAUAGACUCCUCAAAAACAAGGACAAGCUUGCCAUCUGACCUAAAUUCUUGUCCUCCAACAGAAAAUACACAUCAUGGCCAAAGUAGUUUGUUUGGUGGAUACCUUUACCAGUUGUUGUUUGCUGAGAAAUCAAAUAAUGCUAACGUGCAAAUGCUUUCUACCUGUGCACAGAACCUGCAACCGAAUAAUGCUGCUCAGAGAGUUGUUGCCAUUGUCCCGCCAUUGUCUCCGAUAGGAACGGCACCUGUUAAUGUGUUAGACAAAUCUGCUAAUGUGAAAAUGAAUGUAAGCCCUGUGCAAGAGACUGUAGACCAUCAACCAAAUAUUCCACAUCCUCUGGUGACCAACGCUAAUCUGAUGAACCAAACGGGAGAACCAAAUGACCUAACAAGCAAGCAUCAGCGACCAAAGUCAGCAGAGCCAAGGCUGGAUGAUGGCCUUUGCAACGUAGUUGGAGCCGAGAGUCCAGUUUUGGCUAAUGAAUCGACUGACCAAAGUCUCUGUGCAAGUUCGCCGAACCUGAAAUGUGUGGUCGCAGAACAAAACAAGUCUAUUCCAGCUCAAAUGCAAAAUGAACCGGCUGAAAAGACAAAUAAAAACAGUACCGUCAUGGACAAGAAAACAAUUGACCCGGACACUGUUCCUUUUAUUGAAUGGCCAUUAGAUCGAUUGCGGACCUUAAUGGCCGUGAUUCAGCAAAUGGAAAAUGGGGAUCAGAAGAACAUCCACAAAACUGAUCCUGGGAAGGACAUCUUAAAGCUUUACUGGAACGGGGAUACUCGCAAGUUUUCUGAAGCUGUAGAAAGUGGCAUAUAUCAAAGCAUAAUGGAAGAAGUUUAUAUUUACUCUCCGAUGAACGAGCCUGUGAUACUGAGGCAAAUUGUAAAUGAUGCACGUAGCAAAGUCAUCAAGGAUUUUCACGUUUUAAAACACGACGAAGCGCCACCGAAGAUGACGUACACGUCGUCCUGGUUGAAUCUUAAUGAAAACGUUGAUGACAUCGACAAGGAAUGUGGUUAUUCUUGGUUCUAUAAGUCUUUUCAAAAUGUCCCUGAACACGAAGCACAAAACUUGGCAUGUGAAGCACCAAGCACAUUGCAAGAAGCCACUGAAAAGCCAUCAUUGAUUAGGACCAAACAAUUACCAUCAGAGGUGGAGAACAAAGUACCAGCAGACGAACCAACAUCAAAAAAUGAGAGUCUACAUGAAAAUGUGCCCGUUUCAUUUAAUGGACAAUCUCCACCUGUGACUAAAAUCAACUGCUCACCGAAGCAUAAUUGUCAGGUUACAGAACUAACCAACAGUCAGCCAAUUAUUACAAAUUCUCUGGAGGCCAUGGUGGAUUUGGAUGAACAAGGUGUCCCUACUGGAAAGUCAAGUUUGGAUAACCAAUUUGGAACCAAGAGUGUUGUGUCACCCAAAUCAACUAGCCAAAGUGACUAUACAAACUCGCCAAAGCCCAUUCAUGUGGUUGCAGAACAACAGGAGAUUGUGUUAUCUUCUCAAAUGCAAAAAAUGCUUAAUGACUGUGCCAUUCUUGAUAAGAACGUGAGAUGUAAGACCACGACAAAACCUAGUCAAGAACCUCCUGUGCAUGUGAAUGAAGUGGAGACUGACAAGAUGGAUACUUCAGCCACUACGAUGAACGUUCUCCCUCAUGACAUGGCUAGACAGUGCUUCGCUAAUGAGAUGAAAGGACAUAAAGUCAUUGCUGCAUUUCCAGACAAGCACGAGGUGCCUUUGUUGAACACACCCCAUGUACUUGACACAAAAUCAACAGAAGAACCGAUAAGCAGGCAGAAGCUAGAGGAGAAAUAUGCCACAUAUUCUGCAUCCAAAGUUCUAGCAUUGCUAUCAGACCAGUAUAAAUCAUCUUUAGCUGAACAUAAUCAGAUUACAGACAAAGUACAGCAAGAAGAACAAAUCUCCUCGGAGAAAAAUAUGUACGAUGAGAUUUGUGAAGAAUCUCCUGUUCCCUCGAUUGCUCCAUCUCCACCAGUGAUUGAUAAUGUCUCUCCGAAGCUUAAUGAACAACAACCAAAUACUGUUAAUCCACUGAAGGGCAUGAGAAAUCUGGUGAGGACACUGGAAAAACGAAAUGUUUCAUUAAAGUAUAUAAAAUUUAUUGAAAAACAUGGUGGUUUGAAAAAGCAUAAACCGUCAUCUAGAACGUCAAAACUGCACAACAGUUUUGGUAUUAGUGUUGGAGCCCAAAGUCCCAUGUUGACUGAUGAAUCAUCCAGCCAAAGUGACUGCACAAUUGAAGCAUCGACGCUUAGUCCUGUGGUUGAAAAACGGCAGUUUGUUCCAUUAACCCAAGUGCAAAAUGAAUCCAGCGAAAUUAUGCUUAACAGUAAAUUUGAUAAGACCCUAAGAUGUGAGACUGAUCCAAAACCUUGUCAAGAGCUUUCCAUACAAAUCAAUGAUGAAAAGUUUGUUGAGAUGGAUGCUUCAUCUUCUGUUAAGCUUGAUGUUCUCACUCUGGAAGUGGCUAAACAAUGCUUUGCUGAAAAUAGAGGCAUUGCUCCAACAUCAAAGAAUGCAACAUUAAGGCUGGAUGACCCUCUUUGUAAGCGAGCCAAAAGUCCAGUGUUGGCUGAUGGAUCAACCAGCCAAAUUGACUAUGCAAGUCCGCCAAAACUUUAUCCAGUGCUCACAGGACCAUCUCAAAUGCAAAAUGAAUCUAAUGAAGAAAUGCCUGAAAUUGACCGUGUACUCUCAAAUGACUCCGUGAGAUGUGAGACUGAUCCAAAACCCAGUCAAGAACUUUCUAUGAACAUGAAUGAAGAGGAGUUUGUCGAGAUGGAUGCUUCAGCUUCUAUUAAGAUUAAUGUUCUCCCUCAUGAAGUGGCUAUGCAAUGCUUUGCUGAUCAGAUGAUGGAAGAUAUAGACAUUGCUGCACCACCAGAGACGAUGCACAAGGCCUGUUUGUUGAAUUCACCCACAGACACUGUAUUGACAAAAGAACAGAUAAACAUGUGGAGGUUUGAAGGGACUGAUGGAGCUAAAAGUCCAGUGUUGACCGAAGGAUCAAUGAGCCAAAGUAAUUGUGGAAGUCCACCAAAACUUGAUCCUGUGAUUGAAGAACCAUCUCAAGUGCAAAAUAAAUCCAAUAUAGAAAUGCCGGAAAUUGACUGUAUGCUCACAGAUGAGAGCGUGAGAUGCGAGACCGAUCCAAAACCUACUCAAGAACUUCCUGUUAACAUGAAUGAAGAGGAGACUGACCGUUUAGACUCUAUUAAGAUCAAUGUUCUCCCUCAUGAAAUGGCUGAGCUUUGGUUUGUUGGUGAGACAGAAAAUAAGGACUUGCAGAAAGACACUACAGUUCAUAAUUCCACUGAGGACCAGGUGAAAGUUAAAGUUUUGGAACUCAAGUCUGAAAAAGAAGUGCUCCUAGAAGAUGUGAAGCCAAAAGAGAGGAAAUAUCCAAGUUCUGGUGGUGAACAGUUGGCGUCUUACUGUUGUCUUGCUAAAUGGUUUCAAACUUUAGAAUAUGGAAAUGGCUCAUUGUGCAUGUGCCAGAAAAAAGCCGAGUUGAGAGAGGAGGAGACUAAAACUGAGGCCCAUAGCACAAGUUUAGAGGUGCAGGCUGAAAAAGACAGUCCAGGUGAAUGCGAACGGGUGGAAAUGGAUGCUGCUGCUCUUGAAAGAACUGAUGAUUCUGAAGCCACAGAUGAUUCUGAAACCACGGAUGAUUCUGAGGACGAAAACCCAUUGCUGCAUGAUCCUACUACGGACAAGACAAAGAUUGCGAAGGACCUAUCAAGUUCUGAAGAGGUCUCUAAGGCAGAGACUGAAACUUCAGAGCAGAAAAGAAAUGAAUCGCCCACAAAAUGUGCAACAAACAUGACUCCUAUGAAUGAGAUUGAGCAAGACACCCCGGCUCCUGAUUUGAAGAAGACUAAAACAGUAUGGCUUGCACUGUAUGGGUCGUCUUCUGAAAAAGGAAACCAACUAAAGCUAACUAAAAGGUGCAAAGAGAAAUCAAGUUGCGAAGAACCCCCAAAAACUCUUCAAGUAACUGUAAGCUCUCACCAGAAGGUUAAAAACAACAGUGAGUCAAAGAAGCACAAAUGUAUGGAAUCAGAAGAUGAAGAUGCUACUGACAGGAGAGCGCGAAAACGAAGCGUAUCCUUGCAAAAUCUGGUUCAGCGUACAUCCUUGCCCUCGCAUCCUGUUUCUGGACUCAGCAAAACUAGACUUUCAUCUACCUCAGUCAGAAAACUGCUCUGUCAAAGUGCUUAUGAGAAGAGUGACGUCCAUUUGGCUGAAGGAAAUAAGCGAAAGAGACCGAAUAAGCAUACAACGCAACAAAUGUCAAUGAAUAAAUAUAUAGUUAGAGGGAAGACUGUGCCAUCCAAAUUAUUGCAUUCACCCGAGAAUGUGAAGAAAAGUAAAUAUGAGUUGGGGAACCCUGCUUUGAUGCCAUUGGAUGAGGGUCCUGCUUUGGAGUUCAAAGUAUUGCCAGAGACUUUUAACUUUGAAGAUGGAGCUCAAGCCGACACAUCACGGAGUAUGCAAAAUGAGAUGUCAGGCCCAGAAGAAAAAGCCAAAAAGAUGAAAACUAGCCAUGUGCCAACCCAAGGUAUUGGAGAGAAGAUUCAUGUUGUUAAUUUGAAAUGUAACAUUUUUAUUAGCCUCUUAUAAAGUGCAGUUCACCACUUUUGAAUAAUGAUUAAUGAACUGAAUCACAUAGCAUUGUCUGGCAGGUAGUUUACCACUCCUCUAAACGGCUUUGUGCUUGUCUAUCUGCAGGUGUCUGGAGUUUCAGUCCCUUGAAGAAAAAGUGCACUCAACCCAUCCAGGACACUGACAUCUCAGAUUCAUGUAGCCUCUUCCAAGAGUUCAGAAAGAAAUAUCAAGAAAAGAAGGACAUUGCCUCCAAGCAGAACUUGAAUUCCAGUGAAAGAGCUUGAUUUAUUUGUUUUUUUUCUAUUAAAAUGAAAGCAAAUGGGCUUAUUUUGUCAUGUGUUUACUUCCUUGUGAAUGAUAAACCUAAACGGAUACAAACUGCGAGUGUUCAAAUACAUUUUUACUGUUUACUUGAACUUGAUUAUUUGUAUUAUAUUAUAAAUGCAUCAUUUGCACACUGUUAAUCCAGUUCAACAGCUGCUAGUCAUCCAGUAUUUGUGUACCAGUUUUAUACAUUAACUGCAUUUCCAAGAAAUAUGUUUGUCAUGAAAGUGUAAUUUUUUUAUUAUUAUUAUUAUUCUGUAUAUUGUAGUGUUUUUAUUUGGAUUCCACUGGUUUGUAAAAAUUUGACAAUCUAUUUUUGUACGAUUUUAUAAGACCUUUUUUUUU
ensembl:lncRNA uncharacterized LOC107598828